UUAAGCGACUAAGCGUACACGGUGGAUGCCCUGGCAGUCAGAGGCGAUGAAGGACGUGCUAAUCUGCGAUAAGCGCCGGUAAGGUGAUAUGAACCGUUAUAACCGGCGAUUUCCGAAUGGGGAAACCCAGUGUGACUCGUCACACUAUCAUUAACUGAAUCCAUAGGUUAAUGAGGCGAACCGGGGGAACUGAAACAUCUAAGUACCCCGAGGAAAAGAAAUCAACCGAGAUUCCCCCAGUAGCGGCGAGCGAACGGGGAGGAGCCCAGAGCCUGAAUCAGCAUGUGUGUUAGUGGAAGCGUCUGGAAAGGCGCGCGAUACAGGGUGACAGCCCCGUACACAAAAGCGCAUGUGCUGUGAGCUCGAUGAGUAGGGCGGGACACGUGGUAUCCUGUCUGAAUAUGGGGGGACCAUCCUCCAAGGCUAAAUACUCCUGACUGACCGAUAGUGAACCAGUACCGUGAGGGAAAGGCGAAAAGAACCCCGGCGAGGGGAGUGAAAAAGAACCUGAAACCGUGUACGUACAAGCAGUGGGAGCACAGGUUUACCUGUGUGACUGCGUACCUUUUGUAUAAUGGGUCAGCGACUUAUAUUCUGUAGCAAGGUUAACCGAAUAGGGGAGCCGGAGGGAAACCGAGUCUUAAUUGGGCGUUAAGUUGCAGGGUAUAGACCCGAAACCCGGUGAUCUAGCCAUGGGCAGGUUGAAGGUUGGGUAACACUAACUGGAGGACCGAACCGACUAAUGUUGAAAAAUUAGCGGAUGACCUGUGGCUGGGGGUGAAAGGCCAAUCAAACCGGGAGAUAGCUGGUUCUCCCCGAAAGCUAUUUAGGUAGCGCCUCGUGAACUCAUCUCCGGGGGUAGAGCACUGUUUCGGCUAGGGGGCCAUCCCGGCUUACCAACCCGAUGCAAACUGCGAAUACCGGAGAAUGUUAUCACGGGAGACACACGGCGGGUGCUAACGUCCGUCGUGAAGAGGGAAACAACCCAGACCGCCAGCUAAGGUCCCAAAGUCAUGGUUAAGUGGGAAACGAUGUGGGAAGGCCCAGACAGCCAGGAUGUUGGCUUAGAAGCAGCCAUCAUUUAAAGAAAGCGUAAUAGCUCACUGGUCGAGUCGGCCUGCGCGGAAGAUGUAACGGGGCUAAACCAUGCACCGAAGCUGCGGCAGCGAACGUAUCACUUAAAGCGAUUCAGCGGGUUACGAUUGACGGAGCGAAGCGACGUCAAAGCGUAUACAAAGUCGAGUCGGUUUAAGGAUACGUUCGUUGGGUAGGGGAGCGUUCUGUAAGCCUGCGAAGGUGGCCUGUGAGGGUUGCUGGAGGUAUCAGAAGUGCGAAUGCUGACAUAAGUAACGAUAAAGCGGGUGAAAAGCCCGCUCGCCGGAAGACCAAGGGUUCCUGUCCAACGUUAAUCGGGGCAGGGUGAGUCGACCCCUAAGGCGAGGCCGAAAGGCGUAGUCGAUGGGAAACGGGUUAAUAUUCCCGUACUUGGUGUUACUGCGAAGGGGGGACGGAGAAGGCUAUGUUGGCCGGGCGACGGUUGUCCCGGUUUAAGCGUGUAGGCUGGUUUUCCAGGCAAAUCCGGAAAAUCAAGGCUGAGGCGUGAUGACGAGGCACUACGGUGCUGAAGCAACAAAUGCCCUGCUUCCAGGAAAAGCCUCUAAGCAUCAGGUAACAUCAAAUCGUACCCCAAACCGACACAGGUGGUCAGGUAGAGAAUACCAAGGCGCUUGAGAGAACUCGGGUGAAGGAACUAGGCAAAAUGGUGCCGUAACUUCGGGAGAAGGCACGCUGACAUGUAGGUGAAGUGAUUUACUCAUGGAGCUGAAGUCAGUCGAAGAUACCAGCUGGCUGCAACUGUUUAUUAAAAACACAGCACUGUGCAAACACGAAAGUGGACGUAUACGGUGUGACGCCUGCCCGGUGCCGGAAGGUUAAUUGAUGGGGUCAGCGCAAGCGAAGCUCCUGAUCGAAGCCCCGGUAAACGGCGGCCGUAACUAUAACGGUCCUAAGGUAGCGAAAUUCCUUGUCGGGUAAGUUCCGACCUGCACGAAUGGCGUAAUGAUGGCCAGGCUGUCUCCACCCGAGACUCAGUGAAAUUGAACUCGCUGUGAAGAUGCAGUGUACCCGCGGCAAGACGGAAAGACCCCGUGAACCUUUACUAUAGCUUGACACUGAACAUUGAGCCUUGAUGUGUAGGAUAGGUGGGAGGCUUUGAAGUGUGGACGCCAGUCUGCAUGGAGCCGACCUUGAAAUACCACCCUUUAAUGUUUGAUGUUCUAACGUGGACCCGUAAUCCGGGUUGCGGACAGUGUCUGGUGGGUAGUUUGACUGGGGCGGUCUCCUCCUAAAGAGUAACGGAGGAGCACGAAGGUUGGCUAAUCCUGGUCGGACAUCAGGAGGUUAGUGCAAUGGCAUAAGCCAGCUUGACUGCGAGCGUGACGGCGCGAGCAGGUGCGAAAGCAGGUCAUAGUGAUCCGGUGGUUCUGAAUGGAAGGGCCAUCGCUCAACGGAUAAAAGGUACUCCGGGGAUAACAGGCUGAUACCGCCCAAGAGUUCAUAUCGACGGCGGUGUUUGGCACCUCGAUGUCGGCUCAUCACAUCCUGGGGCUGAAGUAGGUCCCAAGGGUAUGGCUGUUCGCCAUUUAAAGUGGUACGCGAGCUGGGUUUAGAACGUCGUGAGACAGUUCGGUCCCUAUCUGCCGUGGGCGCUGGAGAACUGAGGGGGGCUGCUCCUAGUACGAGAGGACCGGAGUGGACGCAUCACUGGUGUUCGGGUUGUCAUGCCAAUGGCACUGCCCGGUAGCUAAAUGCGGAAGAGAUAAGUGCUGAAAGCAUCUAAGCACGAAACUUGCCCCGAGAUGAGUUCUCCCUGAGACUUUAGGUCUCCUGAAGGAACGUUGAAGACGACGACGUUGAUAGGCCGGGUGUGUAAGCGCAGCGAUGCGUUGAGCUAACCGGUACUAAUGAACCGUGAGGCUUAACCU
rnacentral:rRNA from 1 species